rnacentral:lncRNA from 1 species
UAUUCCUUUUCUUUUUGCGUUUCCUCUUCGUGGGAGAAGCCUGAGGCAGCCGGGGAGAGGGUCCCCAGAUCCCCCUGCAGGGAGAGGGCCGCACCCUCCUCCCGGGCCUUCCCGGGAGGAGCAGCUGGCAGUGGGGCGCGGUGCCUGGACUGGGUGCUCAGACGUAAUACUCUUUGUCUUUGUUCUUCUUGGCCUUGCUGGGCGUCUUGGGGGCAGCGGGGGCCUUCUCCUUCACCACUGCCCCAUUGCUCUGGGCCGAGUUACUGAUGUAAUUCCGGCUCUGGUCCACUUGGUAGGAGCCCUCGUCGCGGUUGCGGUACUUGUACAUGGCGUAGAGAAGGAUAAGGAUGCAGAGCGCCGCCGCCGCCACGAUGCCCACCACCAUGCCCGUGGUGCUGCUGGAUUCGCGGAUCACUUCCACCGCGCCCGGCGGGCCGCGCUCCCCCGGACCCGUGGGGUUGGCUGUGGGCAGACGGGGGAAACCGGGGACUGAGGUCACGCCGGGGCGCAGGGGAGGCGGCCGC